AGAGUUUGAUCCUGGCUCAGGACGAACGCUGGCGGCGUGCUUAACACAUGCAAGUCGAACGCUGAAGCCCGAGCUUGCUCGGGUGGAUGAGUGGCGAACGGGUGAGUAACACGUGAGUAACCUGCCCAUGUCUCUGGGAUAAGCGCUGGAAACGGCGUCUAAUACUGGAUACGAGCAUCCACUGCAUGGUGAGGUGUUGGAAAGAUUUAUCGGACAUGGAUGGACUCGCGGCCUAUCAGCUAGAUGGUGAGGUAAUGGCUCACCAUGGCGACGACGGGUAGCCGGCCUGAGAGGGUGACCGGCCACACUGGGACUGAGACACGGCCCAGACUCCUACGGGAGGCAGCAGUGGGGAAUAUUGCACAAUGGGCGCAAGCCUGAUGCAGCAACGCCGCGUGAGGGAUGACGGCCUUCGGGUUGUAAACCUCUUUUGUCAGGGAAGAAGCGAAAGUGACGGUACCUGGAGAAAAAGCACCGGCUAACUACGUGCCAGCAGCCGCGGUAAUACGUAGGGUGCAAGCGUUGUCCGGAAUUAUUGGGCGUAAAGAGCUCGUAGGCGGCUUGUCGCGUCUGCUGUGAAAACCCGAGGCUCAACCUCGGGCCUGCAGUGGGUACGGGCAGGCUAGAGUGCGGUAGGGGAGAUUGGAAUUCCUGGUGUAGCGGUGGAAUGCGCAGAUAUCAGGAGGAACACCGAUGGCGAAGGCAGAUCUCUGGGCCGCUACUGACGCUGAGGAGCGAAAGCAUGGGGAGCGAACAGGAUUAGAUACCCUGGUAGUCCAUGCCGUAAACGUUGGGAACUAGAUGUAGGGCCUGUUCCACGGGUUCUGUGUCGUAGCUAACGCAUUAAGUUCCCCGCCUGGGGAGUACGGCCGCAAGGCUAAAACUCAAAGGAAUUGACGGGGGCCCGCACAAGCGGCGGAGCAUGCGGAUUAAUUCGAUGCAACGCGAAGAACCUUACCAAGGCUUGACAUAUACGAGAACACUGCAGAGAUGCAGGACUCUUUGGACACUCGUAUACAGGUGGUGCAUGGUUGUCGUCAGCUCGUGUCGUGAGAUGUUCGGUUAAGUCCGGCAACGAGCGCAACCCUCGUCCUAUGUUGCCAGCACGUUAUGGUGGGAACUCAUGGGAUACUGCCGUGGUCAACACGGAGGAAGGUGGGGAUGACGUCAAAUCAUCAUGCCCCUUAUGUCUUGGGCUUCACGCAUGCUACAAUGGCCGAUACAAAGGGCUGCGAUACCGCGAGGUGGAGCGAAUCCCAAAAAGUCGGUCUCAGUUCGGAUUGGGGUCUGCAACUCGACCCCAUGAAGUCGGAGUCGCUAGUAAUCGCAGAUCAGCAACGCUGCGGUGAAUACGUUCCCGGGCCUUGUACACACCGCCCGUCAAGUCAUGAAAGUCGGUAACACCCGAAGCCGGUGGCCUAACCCCUUGUGGGAGGGAGCUGUCGAAGGUGGGACUGGUGAUUAGGACUAAGUCGUAACAAGGUAGCCGUACCGGAAGGUGCGGCUG
rnacentral:rRNA from 1 species